UGAACUGUGAGAUCAUGACCUGAGCUGAAGUCGGACGCUUAACCAACUGAGCCCCCCAGGCGCCCCAGCAGCUCGCUUCUUCAAAGCUGGCAAGGGAGAGGGUCUCCAAGCAGAGAAGCAUUAUUAAUCAUGGAAGUGACAUCCAGUCCCCUUUCAGAAUUUUGUGGGUUAAAAGCAAGCCGUAGCAUCAACUAGCAUUGCCACGAUUCAAAAAAGAAAAAAGAGACGGAGAAAAAAGGAAGAAAGAAAAAACAUUUGCUCGUGGAACAGACAAUAGAUCAGCUCCCGUGGAAAACAGCGUGGCAAGGAGUUCUCAACAAGGCAAACAGAAUCCCGUCCCCAGCAGCUGCGCUCCUGGAUGCCUCACCAAGAGAAUCGGAAGCAGGAGCUCCAAUACUUGCACACACACGUUCAUAGCGGCAGCCUUCACAACAGCCAGAAGGUGAGAAAACCCAAAUGUCCCUCAGCAGCUGAAUGGAUCAACAGAAGAUGAAAUGUGGAAAACAGUAUAGAGUUCCCCCAGAACUCAAAAAUAGAAAUAGCAUAUGAUCCAAGAGUUCCACCAGUGUGUAUUUAUCGAGAAGAAAUGGAGACACUGAUCCGAAGAGACUUCUUCUCCCCUAUGUUUUUGCAGCAUUAUAUACAAUGUGUGGUCUCCUCGUACAGUGGAUUGUUAUUCAGCCAUAAAAGGGAAAUUCUGCCACGUACUCCAGCAUGGAUGAGCCUUGGAAGCAUUAAGUGAAAAUGAAGCCAGCCCCGGAAGAGCACGUGUUGGAUGAUCCCAUGUACAGGACCGUCUAGAACCGGCCUGUGGGUAACUGCUGCCAACAUUCGGUGUACAUUGUUGUCCGAUUUUCUUAUGAUUAUGUCAGUGGAAAAGAGGAUUUGUGCUGUACAGGUCGCGCCGCAGCGCCGUCUGAUUCGUGAAAGUCUUGUGCCCAGCGUCUGCCCGAGGCCGAGCGCGGGCCCUGCGGUGGCUGCACACAGACCCAGGGGGAGAGAGCAAGCACGAGUAGGGGAGAGGAGGAGAGAAGAGAACCCCAAGCGGGCUCCACGUUUAGCGCGGGCUGGAUCCCCCCACCCUGGGGUCGUGGCCCGAGCUGAAACCGAGUCAGACUCACCCGCCGGAGUCUCCCAGGCGCUCCUGAAGACUCACAACUUGUCUAUGCUCUGACUCGGUGGGCUCCCAUCUUUCGUAUCUCGUAUCUGGACAGUGGAGAUACACACAGUGGCAUGCACGGCGCUCUCUCCCUAACGUCACGUCCAGUGAUAGCGUAUUGACAACUGGAAUCACCCCUGAUGGUAGUAUUUACACCACGCACAUUGGCGAUUGCUACAAAGCAGCCCCCGCGCCCAUUUCCCAGGUGCCUGUUAUCAAACAUUUCCCAGUCCACGAACUACAACUGAAUCACCUACCCAAAGCUUCCAAGUACACUUCUACCGGAAGUGUAUUCGAUCUUGCCUUUUUCAUAUUUUGUCAUGAUUAAGUGUCAGGUAGUUAAGGAGCAUUUUAGCAUUUUAUUUUAUUUUAUCUUUUAAUUUAAUUUACUUUUGUUUUUUUUUUUA